rnacentral:rRNA from 1 species
CCCUUAGACGUUCCGGGCCGCACGCGCGCUACACUGACCAGUGCAACAAGCAUCCGUCCUUGGCCGACAGGCUCGGGCAAUCUUUGAACGCUGGUCGUGAUGGGGAUAGACUUUUGCAAUUUUUGGUCUUCAACGAGGAAUUCCUAGUAAACGCAAGUCAUCAACUUGCAUUGAUUACGUCCCUGCCCUUUGUACACACCGCCCGUCGCACCUACCGAUUGAAUGGUCCGGUGAAGCCUCCGGAUUGGCGCGCACCUCGGUGCCGCCGAGAAGUUGGCUAAACCUUACCAUUUAGAGGAAGGUGAAGUCGUAACA